UCCAGGAUGGCCGAGUGGUUAAGGCAUUGUACUUAAGAUCCAAUGGAUAUGUAGCUGUGUGGGUUCAAACCCCACUCCUGGUA